rnacentral:rRNA from 1 species
AGUCUGGUGCCAGCAGCCGCGGUAAUUCCAGCUCCAAUAGCGUAUAUUAAAGUUGUUGCAGUUAAAAAGCUCGUAGUUGGAUCUCAGGAUUUGGAUGGAUGGUUCGCUUUCGGGCGCUACUAUCUGUCCGACCUACUCUAGUCGUGGUGCCUUGGGUGCUCUUAAUUGAGUGCUUUUGGUGCCCGACGCAAUUACUUUGAAAAAAUUAGAGUGCUCAAAGCAGGCGUAUUGCCUGAAUAGUGUUGCAUGGAAUAAUGAAAUAGGAGUUUACUUCUAUUUUGUUGGUUUUCGGAGGUGAACUAAUGAUUAACAGGGACAGACGGGGGCAUUUGUAUGGAGGGGUUAGAGGUGAAAUUCUUGGAUCCUCUCCAGACAAACUACUGCGAAAGCAUUUGCCAGGAAUGUUUUUACUAAUCAAGAACGAAAGUCAGAGGUUCGAAGACGAUCAGAUACCGUCCUAGUUCUGACCAUAAAUGAUGCCAUCUAACAAUCCACGAAGUUUGCUUGUACGAACUCGUGGGCGGUCCCCGGGAAACCAAAGAUUUUGGGUUCCGGGGGAAGUAUGGUUGCAAAGCUGAAACUUAAAGGAAUUGACGGAAGGGCACCACCAGGAGUGGAGCCUGCGGCUUAAUUUGACCCAACACGGGAAACCUCACCCGGCCCGGACACUUUUAGGAUUGACAGAUUGAAGGCUCUUUCUUGAUCAAGUGGUUGGUGGUGCAUGGCCGUUCUUAGUUGGUGGAGCGAUUUGUCUGGUUAAUUCCGAUAACGAACGAGACUCUACUCUGCUAAAUAGAACGUUGAUAUAUAAAAGUCAGUGCUGACUUCUUAGAGAGACUAACGGCGUUUAGCCGUGUGAGAAAGAGCAAUAACAGGUCUGUGAUGCCCUUAGAUGUCCGGGGCCGCACGCGCGCUACACUGACUGCAGCAACUAGUAUGCUCCUGGUUUGAAAAAACUGGGUAACCUGGUUGAAUUGCAGGCGUGACAGGGAUCAGAGUUUGCAAUUAUCCUCUGUGAACGAGGAAUUCCCAGUAAGCGCAAGUCAUUAGCUUGUGCUGAUUACGUCCCUGCCCUUUGUACACGCCGCCCGUCGCUACUACCGAUUGAAUGGUUUAGUGAGGUCUUCGGAUUGGUGCUGAUGGAGUGGUUCUCUGCUCUGUUAGUGCCGAGAAGAUGAUCAAACUUGAUCAUUUAGAGGAAGUAAAAGUCGUAACAAGGU